CAUGCAAGUCGAACGAGAAUCUCUAGCUUGCUAGAGAGGAAAGUGGCGGACGGGUGAGUAAAAUGUAGAGAAUCUGCCCUAGAGAGUGGGACAACAGAGGGAAACUUCUGCUAAUACCGCAUAUGAGCGUAGCUGAAAUGCUAUUCUUGAAAACUCCGGUGCUCUAGGAUGAGUCUGCAUCUGAUUAGCUAGUUGGCGGUGUAAUGGACCACCAAGGCGACGAUCAGUAGCUGGUUUGAGAGGAUGAUCAGCCACAAUGGGACUGAGACACGGCCCAUACUCCUACGGGAGGCAGCAGUAGGGAAUUUUGCGCAAUGGGCGAAAGCCUGACGCAGCAACGCCGCGUGACCGAUGAAGCCCUUCGGGGUGUAAAGGUCUGUCAGUGGGGACGAAACUUGACGGUACCCACAGAGGAAGCAUCGGCUAACUCCGUGCCAGCCGCGGC
rnacentral:rRNA from 1 species